GUGGGGAAUCUUAGACAAUGGGGGAAACCCUGAUCUAGCCAUGCCGCGUGAGCGAUGAAGGCCUUAGGGUUGUAAAGCUCUUUCAGCUGGGAAGAUAAUGACGGUACCAGCAGAAGAAGCCCCGGCUAACUCCGUGCCAGCAGCCGCGGUAAUACGGAGGGGGCUAGCGUUGUUCGGAAUUACUGGGCGUAAAGCGCGCGUAGGCGGACCAGAAAGUUGGAGGUGAAAUCCCAGGGCUCAACCUUGGAACUGCCUUCAAAACUCCUGGUCUGGAGUUCGAGAGAGGUGGGUGGAAUUCCGAGUGUAGAGGUGAAAUUCGUAGAUAUUCGGAGGAACACCAGUGGCGAAGGCGGCUCACUGGCUCGAUACUGACGCUGAGGUGCGAAAGCGUGGGGAGCAAACAGGAUUAGAAACCCCAGUAGUCC
rnacentral:rRNA from 1 species